rnacentral:rRNA from 1 species
GAUGAGCGCUGGCGGCGUGCCUAAUACAUGCAAGUCGAGCGAACAGACGAGGAGCUUGCUCCUCUGACGUUAGCGGCGGACGGGUGAGUAACACGUGGAUAACCUACCUAUAAGACUGGGAUAACUUCGGGAAACCGGAGCUAAUACCGGAUAAUAUAUUGAACCGCAUGGUUCAAUAGUGAAAGACGGUUUUGCUGUCACUUAUAGAUGGAUCCGCGCCGCAUUAGCUAGUUGGUAAGGUAACGGCUUACCAAGGCGACGAUGCGUAGCCGACCUGAGAGGGUGAUCGGCCACACUGGAACUGAGACACGGUCCAGACUCCUACGGGAGGCAGCAGUAGGGAAUCUUCCGCAAUGGGCGAAAGCCUGACGGAGCAACGCCGCGUGAGUGAUGAAGGUCUUCGGAUCGUAAAACUCUGUUAUUAGGGAAGAACAAAUGUAUAAGUAACUAUGCACGUCUUGACGGUACCUAAUCAGAAAGCCACGGCUAACUACGUG